rnacentral:rRNA from 1 species
GUAGUCUCGCACAGAUGCAUAUCAAUAAGCGGAGGAAAAGAAACUAACAAGGAUUCCCCUAGUAACGGCGAGUGAAGCGGGAAGAGCUCAAAUUUGAAAUCUUAAAGGGUUUCCCUUUACGAAUUGUAGUUUAAAGAAGUGUUUUCUGUUGAGGUUUUGGUAAAAGUUCUUUGGAAUAGGACAUCAUAGAGGGUGAGAAUCCCGUAUUUGACCCUUACUUUCAACUUUGUGAUACACUUUCAAAGAGUCGGAUUGUUUGGGAAUGCAGUCCAAAAUGGGUGGUAAAUUUCAUCUAAAGCUAAAUAUUGGCGAGAGACCGAUAGCGAACAAGUACCGUGAGGGAAAGAUGAAAAGAACUUUGAAAAGAGAGUUAAACAGUACGUGAAAUUGUCAAAAGGGAAGCGUUUGACACCAGUGUUGUUUUUCUGAAAAUCAAUUAAAGAACUGUUUAUGCUAAGCUGUUUAGACUUUAUCAGCUAACUGUUUAGUUUUGAGCUUUUCUUUAAUGCACUUUUCAGUUAACAAGUCAACAUCAAUUUCUUUUGCUGUAAAAAAGCUUGAGGAAGGUGGCUUGAGAUUCGUCUUAAGUGUUUAUAGCCUCUUGCCUAUGCAGUCGGAGAGAUUGAGGUCUGCAGCGUAGAUCCUUCGGGGCUAAAUGCAUUUGUGCUAAGUUAUAGCAUUUUAUAGACAACUUGUUGACUAUGAUUUGUCUUGUAGCUUACUCGCUUAUGUUAUUUUACCUACGCUUAGGAUGUUGAAGACUCUACAGAGAU